rnacentral:rRNA from 1 species
AGUGAACGCUGGCGGUAGGCCUAACACAUGCAAGUCGAACGGCAGCACAGUAAGAGCUUGCUCUUACGGGUGGCGAGUGGCGGACGGGUGAGGAAUACAUCGGAAUCUACUUUUUCGUGGGGGAUAACGUAGGGAAACUUACGCUAAUACCGCAUACGACCUACGGGUGAAAGCAGGGGAUCUUCGGACCUUGCGCGAUUGAAUGAUCCGAUGUCGGAUUAGCUAGUUGGCGGGGUAAAGGCCCACCAAGGCGACGAUCCGUAGCUGGUCUGAGAGGAUGAUCAGCCACACUGGAACUGAGACACGGUCCAGACUCCUACGGGAGGCAGCAGUGGGGAAUAUUGGACAAUGGGCGCAAGCCUGAUCCAGCCAUACCGCGUGGGUGAAGAAGGCCUUCGGGUUGUAAAGCCCUUUUGUUGGGAAAGAAAAGCAGCAGGUUAAUACCCCGCUGUUCCGACGGUACCCAAAGAAUAAGCACCGGCUAACUUCGUG